AUGGCGUCGGCGUCGCCGUCGCGGCUGCUGCCGCCCUUUCCCCCUCCAGCUGCCCCAACAUCCCGCCACACAACUCUCCGCGCCGUCCCUCGCAGCUGCAGCCUCGCCAUCCCGAGCCUCCGGUGCCGCGCCUCCGCUCCAGCGGCCGUUGACGCUGGCGCGCCGCUGCUGCUAGAGGACCGCGCCGGCGCGGUGUCCAUCCGAGAGUUUGUCACGCUCGAUGAGCUCCACGCCGCCGUGCGCCUCCGCGUUCGCACCUUCUACGAGUACGCCCGCGACACUGUCGGCGCCGAGUUUGUUGAAGAUGGGGAAGAGAGAAUAGUAGUUGGUAGUUUAGACCUGAAUCAGUGCCUCUGGCUACCAGAUGAACUGACUGGAAAGAGGCCAGGGGUAACUGAAUCAAGCCAUACACGGGCAUAUCUGAGCAAUGUAUGUGUUGCCAAGGAGCUCCAAAGAUGCGGACUGGGCUAUGCAUUGGUUGACAAGUCUAAGAAGCUUGCUCGCAUAACGGAUUUGUAUGUCCAUGUUGCCAUCAACAACGAGGCGGCACAAAAGCUGUACAUCAAGAGUGGAUUUGUGUACGAAAGCGAGGAGCCUGCCCAGCAAGCUAGGCAUCUUGGGCGCCCCCGAAGGCUUCUUCUUUGGCUUGAUAUGAAGAACGAAACCUUGUGA
rnacentral:rRNA from 1 species